rnacentral:hammerhead_ribozyme from 1 species
AUCUAGCUGACGAGUCUUAAAUAGGACGAAACGCGUGUUGUCCUGGAU